rnacentral:rRNA from 1 species
GCCCAAAAUCUAGCCCAUUUAACUCACAUGACCCCCUUAACCAACUGUCUUAUAAACAAAACAUUUUAACAUUUUAGUACAGGUGUACGAAAAUUCUAAGCGCUUCAGAUAAGUACCGCAAGGAAUAAUGAAAUAGAAAUGAAAUAACCUUAAAGCCUUAAAUAGCAGAGCUUCCCCCUCGUACCUUUUGCAUCAUGGUCUAGCCAGUUUCCCCAGGCAAAAUAAAAUUUUAGUCUGACUCCCCGAAACUAAGCGAGCUAGUUCAAAACAGCCCAAAACGCGGACCCGUCUCUGUUGCAAAAGAGUGGGAAGAUUUUUAAGUAGAGGUGACAAGCCUACCGAGCUUAGAGAUAGCUGGUUGUUCAGGAAAAGAGUCUUAGCUCUACCUUAAAUUUUUUUUUUAUUACACCAAACAAAACACUAGAUUUAAGAGCUAUUCAAAUAAGGCACAGCUUAUUUGAAACGGGAUACAACCCCUAAUAUCGGGUUAACGAUAUAUACAAAUAAUAGUGGUCCAAAUAUAUGUUUAAACCAAAAUGGACACUCCACUGGUAGUUAACGUAAAUGUAAAAAUCAUAGCACCAUAUACUAGAAAACCCUAUGACUCCCCAACGUCAACCUUACACUAGAACAUUACAGGAAAGAUUAAAAGAGAAAGAAGGAACUCGGCAAACCACAGUCCCGCUUGACCAUAUGACGAGAAGACCCCAUGGAGCUUUAAACCCAACUCUCACCUCACUCACCUAAAUCAACAAACCCAAGAGACUUAUGUUGUGGUUUUAGGUUGGGGGGACCGCGGAGUAAAAUCAAACCUCCAGACAGACGGACUAACACCCUUAUCCAUGAACCACAAUCUAAGAGCCAAUAAAUUGUUGUCUAAUGACCCAAUUACUUGAUUCAACGAACCAAGUUACCCUGGGGAUAACAGCGCAAUCUACUUCAAGAGCCCCUAUCGACAAGUAGGUUUACGACCUCGAUGUUGGAUCAGGGUAUCCUAGUGGUGCAGCCGCUACUAAAGGUUCGUUUGUUCAACGAUUAAAACCCUA